rnacentral:lncRNA from 1 species
CUCUCACCUUUCCAGCACUACAUCAGACAAUGCUCUGCUGCUAUUCAUAGAGUUUUCAUGGCCAAGUUUUUUGAAGUGGGUGGCUGGGUCCUUCUUAGUCUGUCUUAGUCUGGAAACUCUGCUGAAACCUGUCCACCAUGGGAAAUCGUCAUGAAAUUCAUAUCUAAUCUGGAUCAGAGUGAGAGAAGGUUAUUCAAAGUGUCACAAGAGGACAAAGAAGAAGGCAAAGCCCAGACUUGGAAAAUUCAGAAAGUCUCCUAAAAAUGAAAGACCAAGUGAGCAAAGCAAGAAAGUGGUGUUCUACAAGCUAGGAAGAGAGAAUCCUCACCAGAAACUGGAUCAGCUGGCCCUUGAUCUUGGAUUUCCAAGCCUCAAGAACUGUGAUAAAAUAAAUUUCUGUUGUUUAAGAUACCCAGUCUAUGGUAUUUUGUUAUGGCAGCCCGAGCUGACUAACAUAU